ensembl:lncRNA
CCCCAACUCCCGCUGUGUCCGAGCCCUGGCUAAGAGAGAGGACCUGACAGGGUGGCAGAUAGAAGAUCUGGAUCCCCAUUUCCUCAACUCCAUGUUUCAAGGAAGGAGCAGAAACUCCCCCAGUGAGCUCUGCUGACCUGUGUUAGCACCCAGAAGGGACAGCAGAGGUGCGCGUGGCAGGGCAUGGAGUGUCUUGGAGUCUUACUCAGCACUUCUUUCUCCUCGCAGGCCCACUGCUGACACCACAGACACUGCUGGCACGCCUGUUGGUGGUGGCAGGGAGCCCUGUUGCAGACCGCAAACUCCAAGCCACUGCCUUACUGCUCAUGCAAAACCUCCACAGCAGGAUCCACAGAGCUGUGGGGGCCAUGUGGGCUGCUGAGAUCCCCCUGCUGCUACAGUGUCUCCAAGUUCCUGAGGGCGUUGCUGGAGACCAUGGAGGAUGAGGCCUGGACCAAGGCCCUGAGCUGUGAGCUGAGCCAGUGGCUGAGCAGCUCUCCCAGCAGCUCUGGAGAAAAGAUGGAGCUGGACAGUGUGAGAGCUCAGGCCACACGCAGCGCUCUCAUCCUCGCCCAUGGCAGCUCAGCACUGCGUGCCUCCAAGGAACAGCUGCUCGCCCACCUGGAGGGAGACAUCAUGGGCAGCAUCCUGAUGCUCUACAGCUGCAGCUGCUGGAACUUGCUGAAGAAGUAUUUCUUGGGCAACCCCGUCUCCCCAGUGCCCCUCAAGGUGGUUCUGGCCCUGGAGCAGUUGAGAAUGCAGAGAUUAAAAUCUCUUCCUGAAUCGGCUGAGAGAUGAUAUAAAUACAGCCUUUCUACUACUCUUCUAGGAUGCAAUGGCGCUUGUCAGAGAAGCUCGGUUGUCAGCUGUUGUCAAGUGCUUCUUGCUAUGCCCUGGCAAUACAGAGUGAAAGAUAAACCUCUGAAAGUGCCUAAGCACCUCUCUGUAUUGGCAGUAUACAGAAGAAACCUGGCAUUACAGAACUGUUGUGGUUUAACCUGGUAAUCAGCUCAGCACCACACCGCCAUUCAUUCACUCACUUCCAUUCCCAGUGGGAUGUUGGAGAGAAUACUGAUGGAUAUUAGGAAGAAGUUUUUCACAAAGAGGGUGGUGAGACACUGGAACGGGUUGCCCAAGGUUGUGGAUGCCCCAUCCCCAGAGACAUUCAACGGGCAGGCUGGAUGUGGCUCUGGGCACAUAGCAGGGGGGUUGAAACUAGAUAAUCUUUGAGGUUCUUUUUAACCCAGGCCAUUCUGAUUCUAUGAUUCUAAGGUUCCAUGAAAACAUUGUUUUUCUCCUAAAGCCAGAACACAGCACUAUACCAGACGCGAUGAAGAAAAUCAACUCUGUCCCAGCUAAAACCAGGACAAGCACUACAACAUUCUCAGAAACAAGUCUAUAUUCCAGGUCACCAUAAAGAGUCUUGCCAAGUACUUUGUACAUAUUUUUACAAGGAAAGGGAUCAGAAGUUUAUUAAUGUGUUCGUGAAAGUUGGAUGUAUUCUUGCUUUUGUUACCAUUUUAAUCACAUUUCUUUAAAAACCUUAAAGAGAAUAAAGAUUCAAAUUCUCCCUGCUAGUAAAACAAACAAACAGGUCUCGUAACUUCAUUUUAGGAAGUAUAUUUGGAAGGCUGGCUGUCAAUCUAGGGAAAAAAUAAUGGAUUUAUAUCCAACAAAGCAACUAUUGGAGUCUGGAAAAUAAAAUAAAAUAAACAGCAACAACAAAAUCAACAAAAAAAGAAUUAAAAGAUUAAAUCACUAUCUAAAUAUCUAAAUAGACAAAUAUCUAUUAAAAUUAUAAUUUUUACAACAAUGAUUUUGUCUUAAAUAUAGUUUUACAUCUAGCAGUUAAGCUUUAUGAUCAUAUUUCUUUAAAGUUUGCCAUUAAGUGAUCCUCAAGUGGAUCAGAGUCCUAUAUAAAUCCAGUCGAUGGGCACGAAAUGUUGAAUACUCUGUUACGAGAGGAGUCUUACUUACUGUGUUUUAAUGUCCAUCAGCACAGAGAACAACUCUGGUUUUAAUAUUGAGUUUGUCUGGAAUGACUGGAAUUCUGGUCAAAGGCUUUACUGAAAAAGAUAUAUAUAUAUAUAUAUAUUCCCUCUAAAUUAACCAAGAGAAACAAAAUUAGGAAAGCAUCUAUUUUUUAUCUGCCAGUAGUUGAAGUACUUCUCUGAAGCAUUUGGGCAUUGCAGCAAGACAGAAGGAUUUUGGACAUGAGUGGUACUCAUGGUUCGUGGGUCCUUCUGUCAGGCUAAGUGUGAAUCUCCCCCACCAAAUGCUGCCCAGGAAAUUCUCUCCUUCUCUCUGCACACACUGCAGCUAUCAGAAGUGACAAAAUUAUUAGUGUCACCUCUACACAAGUGAAAAUAGUUUCCUCUUGCUGAAUUGUGUCAAACACAGCAAACAGAUUUUGACUGAUCUCUAUUCUGCCUUCAUUCUUGAUUCUGAAAGAAAAGAAAAAGCACAGAUAUUAGCAAUUUUGAUUCAUUAGCAACCCUUAGAGAAAUCUCACCUGAUCUCCUAGAUACAGAAUGCUUUUUGCUAAGAAGAGAAAGACACCUUAUUUUUAAUAGAUAGCUCAGGGCUUGAAUUGCACUCAAAUGACUCUAAUAUCUGAGUAUUAAAAAAAAUAAAACAAAUAAAAAAAUCCUUAGUCUGAUAAAUGAUUUCUAUGAGGAGUUGCCCUUUCUCUGAAAUUCAUUCCUUUGGAACAAAUCCGUAUUUUGCAAGCAAUUAUAUGGUUGAUUUACUUCAGUUAAAAUCCAUUCCACUUUUUUUGAGGAAAAAAAAAAACAACAAAAAGGAAAACAAAACAAAAUAAAACCGUAGUACUGCUUUUUAUACUAUUAUUCAGGCAGUUUCCUAAAGUGGAGAUAUUAUAGAAGAACCAAGAAACUGCAAAAUGGGAUCAGAAUAUAGAUUGUUCAGAAAUCAUCAUGUUUAGCAUUUGCACAGAUUUUAUAAUCCUUGCCUAAAAAUGUCUGCUACAUACUAACAGUCCAUUCUUUCAGGUAAAUGGGCCAUUCAGCCCUCACAGGGGAAAAACUUAAUGUUUUAUAGUCAGAGAGAUGUUUUGAAACACGCACACAAUUGCCCCCAAUCCCUCAAAGAAAAACAGCAAACCAGCUUGCUGUCUUCCAAUUCCAUCAUCAACCUCAUUUUUUACUGACUGAAGUUGUAUUUUUGUAGAACUCUUUUUUUUAAUUAUUUUUUUAUUUUUAUUUUUACAUUAGUUUUAAAGGCAGUAUUAAGCUCUGUCUUUGUAAUAUUAUAGCUGUGUCUGUACUAGCAAAUUAAUGAAUGUAAUAGCUCAGAUUUGGGUAUUUUGACUUGAUCAUCUGUUGAUAGAGGAGUCUUGGCAGGCUCUUAAAUUAAGAAAACAAUGUUUUGGAGGUUCAGAAAUGAAUGCAUGCAAGGAACCAUUCCCAGUACUUAUUUUGCCUGCCACCAUUCUGUUUUGGAGACUAACAGAGCUUAAUUGUAUGGACACAGACCAUUUCAUGCCAGCUGGCCUUGCUGUGAGAGACUAGGUUUCAGCAUGUUUAAUUGAUUGCUUAGACUAGCAAACUUGUUAGACUAUAUCAGUGAAAAGAUUAAGACUAUCAUCUGAGUAAAAUAUUUCCUGGCUGAGGAUAAAACAAAACAAAACAAAACAAAAACCAACCCACAUAAGAAUGACUUUCUUCAAGAUUGGUUUUCUUUUCAGUGUGUCAAUAACAGAUUGAACCUUGUCAGACCUUUACAAAGAGUCUUGUUGAAGUAAAGAUGUCCCUUUUAAGAAGCAAAGUCUUUGAAAACACAAGGAAAUCCUAAAAGAGUAAAAGACUCUGCAUUCUUAUCCUCAGCAUGUGAGUUAAUAGAAGUCUUCUAAAAAUAAAAAUGUCUCCACAUCUCUAGUUUACCAUGACAGAUCUUAAACCUAAGUCUACAAGACUCAGUGAGAAAAUUCAUAAUAUAUGCGAUGCACAGAAACAUUGAAAGCAUGUCUAUCUCUGUCCCCAUGUCCCACAAAUGGUGUCUUUCUGUGCAG